UUUGAGAAUAGUCAAAGCUGAGGGGUUGCUGACAGAAUGGGGCCUGAAAAGCAGAAUGCCUGAGCUGGUUGUAGGAAUGGGCAUACAUCAUUGCAGCACUCUGCCACUGUUCAUAAGAAGCAUCUCUAGAUGCCUGGUUUAAACCCAUUGCGCAGAAAGGGCUUACAACAGGACUCGGAUGAGGCCCAUAGUUAACUGAAGCUUGAGUUCCUGGCAUAUGACCCAUGAGAGAAUAACCAGAAUCAUAUUGUACAAAUGGAGGCUGAAUUUUUUGCAUAAUAAAGGGAGCCAAGCUUAAGUUUUGAUUGGUUGGAAGGUUCCUAAUAUACCUAUCAUAAUUGCGAUCAUAAUCAGGGUCACUACGAUCCUUUUCCCUAUCUUUGAAAAUGGCAACCCGAGAAGUCAUGCCAUCCCUGCCAUUAAAUUUUUCCAAAUCACCACCCAAAGUUCUACAACCUUCAGUCUCAUCCCUGUUUGAGCAUGCAUACUUUCCUUCAGAUGGGGUUUGAGAUAUUGUAUCAUCAAUCUCAGGACUACUUGGGGAGCUGAAGAUCCGAGCUCGUGCCCUAUCAUAUUCCUCCUUUCUCUCUUCCACGCUUCUGACAGAACUUUGUUUGUGACCUCCUUCAUUGGCAGAAUUGCCAGACAUUUUGUUAGGCCUAGGUCUGAUGACAAUUUUGACCUGCUCAUGUUUCUCAUUGUCCAAUUGCUUCGCAGGUAUUUCAGAUAAACGCACAGAAGGGAGUCUGUUUUCCACCGUUUUACGAACCAAGAUCCUAUUUCCAAAACCAUCUAUGCCAGAGUCCUGAACCAUGGUUUGAAGGCCAUAAUGUUGAGCAACACGAUGAGCAGCAAGUCGAAGGUAUGAAGUAGGAAAAUGCUGGAACUCAAAAAGCUGCUGAUCGGGAUUAUGCAAAAACUUCUGAAUGUCAAGUUCCAUUCGUAAAAUGGUGAGACGAUGUCGAGGGUUCUGAAGAGCCUCAACCAAGAAGGGGUCAACCAUUGACUCCUUGUCCUUGAACCCUUGUGGGGUUGGAUCAAAGGAAGCAGAUUCCAUGGAAGAGAGGUCUCUGAAACAGUUGGGUUUCUG
rnacentral:misc_RNA from 1 species